rnacentral:lncRNA from 1 species
AUAAAUACACAUGUAUUUAUAUAUAAAAAUAUAUAUACACACACAUGGACACACACAUACACACACACACACACAGAUACAUAUACAUAUAUAUGAAACUUGAAGCCAGCCUCUCUCAGUGGCGAUGUUUUUCAAGGAAAUCUCCAGCGUUAACCACUCCAGCAGAAAAUUUCACAUUAGAUGGCCCGGUAGUAUCUCCAUCCAAGGGGAUGUAUUUCUGGAGCACCAGAAAAUGCCGCAGAGAACAGCACUUUGCUGCUAAUAAGCUCCCAAGCUAUGCUUCUGAUGCUGUGCUGUGUUUUCCAUCAGUUCUACCUCCCUGUCUGAUCAGUGUCAGUAAGAGGGACUGCUGGUGUAGAUGCUUUGACUGUAAAUCCUCUCUGGCUUUGUAACUGGGAUGAGGAGAGAUGAUUCCAACUAGGACAAGGUAAAAGCAGGAGAAACAAAGUUGGUCCCCACCUCCCCUACUCCAGAAACCUAGUUUCCAUCUGCUUCUGCCUCUGUUGUGACACUCAGAUUUCACACCCUUUUCUUAUCUAUUUUCUCUAUCAAAGCACAGCUAUCUUUUGUCUCAAUGCUUCAAAGUUUGGAUCUAUGGAUGAACCAAAAUUCUAACAGCUAUUAGCAUCCCACUGUUUCCACACCUCUGGAUUCUGUAGACCCCUGUUCUGGGAAGAUCAACAUUUGCUCAAGCUUCUCCCGAGAGAGGGUUCCCUGGAGCAGCAGCCAGGGUGACAGGUGUCAGGGAAGGCUAAGAGAACCAGGGUCCCACCUUUGGGGCUGGCUUGGCCCUGGGCCAUGACCUGGGCAUGUAACACUGGGCCUUCCUGUAACUCUUCUGCAUUGCUUUCCUCACUUACAAAAUUUAGUGGGAAACUGGGUGGAAUUAGGUCAGUAUCUGACCAUAAAAAUUAUCUGGGCCAUCAGUAAAAUUCCAGGUCUCUGGGAUUCACAUCAGACCUCCUGAAUCUGACUCUCUAAGGAGGGAUCUGAGCAUCUGUCUUUCAUAAGCACCUCUGGGACCAAAGGUGCAGGUCAGUGUGGGAGACAGGCAUGGAUGAGUUCACGAGGCCCUCUCAGCUUUGCUUUCCUGUGACAUUCUUCAGAAGGGCCACGGGGUGACAGUGACCAGCAGGGACCCCAAGAGCCUGAGUUCAUAUCCUGACUGUGUUUCCCCAACACAGUGACCUUGGCAAGCCCUGCCUCCUGAUGACUCAGUCUUCUCAUCCGCAGAAUGGCCAUAAUAAGAGUUUCAACCACUGGCUGGGCAUGGUGACUCAUGCCUUUAAUCCCAGGACUUUGGGAGGCUGAGGCAGGAGGAUUGCUUGAGCCCUCGGGUUUGAGACCAGCCUGGGUAACAUAGCAAAAUUCCGUCUCUACAGACAGUACAAAGUUAGCUGGCCAUGAUGGUGCACACCUGUAGUCC